UCCCUGGUGGUCCAGUGGCUAAGACUCCAUGCUUCCAAUUCAGGGGGCCCAGGUUUGAUCCCUGGUCAGGGAA
rnacentral:tRNA from 1 species